AUUGAACGCUAGCGGGAUGCUUUACACAUGCAAUUCGAACGAGUGGCGGACGGGUGAGUCAUAUAUCGGAACGUGCCCAGUAGCGGGGGAUUACUACUCGAAAGAGUGGCUAAUACCGCAUACUUUUGGAGCGGCCUGUAUCGGAUUAGCUAGUUGGGGGGGUAAAGGCUCCCCAAGGCACCGACCCGUAGCUGGUUUGAGAGGACGGCCAGCCACACUGGGACUGAGACACGGCCCAGACUCCUACGAGAGGAAGCAGUGGGGAAUUUUGGACAAUGGGGGAAACCCUGAUCCAGCCAUCCCGCGUGUAUGAGAAGGCCUGCGGGUGGUAAAGUACUUUUGGCAGAGAAGCGGUAUCUGCAGAAUAAGCACCGGCUAACUACGUGCCAGCAGCCGCGGGAAUUC
rnacentral:rRNA from 1 species